GGCCAACCACUGAGUCUCUCAGGGCUCCUCCUCAUCAGCUAUACCCCUAGCUGGCCCAGGAUGCAGGGGUUCUGAGAGAGAAGGCUGUGACUGGUAAGCAGGGAGACGUAGACAUUCACUGAAACCUUUUCUAAUUAUCAUUUCCACAGAGAGAGACCUGGAUCCAUGGACAAGGCUUGGAAGGCACUGGCAAAGGGGUGGCUUGCUGCCAAAUGAAGCCCGGCUUCAUAGAAAAUGAAACGCACAAAUACCAGAGGAAAAAGGAACAAACAAACAAAAGGAUUUGCUGGAUCCUUCCAACAAACACCAAAGAGGAGAGUUAAGCUGUUUCAUCUGUGAAAUGUGGAGAAGGAUUUCUGAUGAUGCUCACCUCAGAGAAGACUUGGGAAGCCAGAUAGAGGACUCCUGCAGGUAUUACAGAAAUUCAGAGGACUGCCAUCAUUUUAAUUCUAUUAUGUCUGAUAACACCACGAUUCCUGAAGGUACACAGAAAAGCCACAAAAUGAUUGGUACGGUUGCCACUGAUUCAGUAUUCAUAGGCAGAGGGGAAUACAGAAAGACUUCAUGUGGAAGAUGAUACUUAAGCAGAGUUUUGAAUGAAACAAGAUAUUCUAAGAGGUGGAUGGGAACAUCGGAAUGCAUUCCAGGCAGAGUGGACAGCAAGUGUGAAAAUGUGAAGACGGAAGAUGCAGAAUCAUGUGUGAGGAAUAGCAAGAUGGUGAGUUUGGCUGGAUGACAGAGUAUGGGGAAGGGGUAUAAUGUAUAAUAAGACUGGAAAAAUAGGUUGGGGCAAUGUUUUUAAAGCCUUUCUCAAUAAAUGGAGACAUUAAGGGCUAUGUCA
rnacentral:lncRNA from 1 species